CGUCCCACAGUUGACAGUGCAUUUUAAAGCAAAAAUCAGGCCAUGAGGUCGAAGUUUUUGUCUGUAGAGCGCCGACACAGGAUUGUGUCAAGGCACAGAUCUGCGGAAAGAGGCCAAUGAAUGGACAGCUUUGUAAAGACAUGCUGAAUGAAUGGAACCUGGCCUCUUUGAUCCCAAAGUUUGAGAGGCGGAAGAGAUGGACCAGGAAACGCUCUUGCCUUUGGAUGACUUGACUGUAGCCUGAAAUUAAAGAACAACAUAAAUGCCUUACAGGUUGAUACCUCCUGAUUGUUUGGAUAUGAAAAUCCGACAUUUGUAAUAGAAGGGGGCACCGCUCAGGGACUGCAUGUUUGAGUGAAAAAGACAGAGGGGCGCCAACCAGCCCCUUCAUUAUCGAGCGAUUGUGCCCAACAACAUCAAAGAGCCUUUUCAGACUCUGAGGUCAGUAGGACUUCGAGAGUUAGGUGUUAGCAAGAUUCGUGGUUAACUGCAAUGGAAAAGUAAUUGUUUGUCUACAUCAUAACACAAUUUGAAGUCAUAUGGGGCAGUCUCAAAAUAAUUAGAAAUAACAUUGGGUGUGGAUAUGGUCAAAGGGGGUGUCAUUAAUAUUUGUGAAUAUGUAUGUAAAUGUUAAUUUGUCUAUUUGGCAAUGUAAGGUUAUGUUUGUCCAUUUUUUGUUGUCAAAUAAAAUAUGACCAAAAACGAA